AUGGGGUUUAUGAAGGAUAGAGCUGCUGGUCACCCAUACCUUUGGGUGAGCUGUGAAGGGCCGAUCCCACUCCCCACCAAUAUCCCAGGUAUUGCCUGUCUCAAGAUUUUGUAUGCAGAUUUCCUGGGGCUGAUGGCUUUCUGCGACAGCGUACACCCUACCCGCAUGUUCAAACACAUUGGUGUUGGUGAUGUUCUUAUUCACCUUGCCAAACCUCAGCUGCAUCGCAUGUUUACUCAUUUCAGGACUAGGGUUGGAUUAGCUGGCAGGACGAGGAUGAAGUUGGUUCCGGCCAAGAGCAGCGUGGAGGCGCGGCACAGGGGAGGUUCGGCUGCUGCACCUGUGGCUGCAUGCGCACAUGUGGUGGCUGAAUCUCCGCCUGGCUGCCGUGGUCGAAGUUGUGGUCUUGCCUGUAUCUCUGCUGAAGGGGAGCCGACGGCUGCGUCAGCCCUGCGCGAGUCAGCUCCGGCAGAAGCGAGAUCCGGCGCGCGAGGCGAAGGUGACCACCUUGUCGAGGUAGUCAGGGCAAGAGAUCGGUGGCGGCACUUCCUGAGGCUGCGAGGAAGAAAAGUGAAUCUUCCAGAGCAAGGAUGUGUGCGGUGGAUGCAGUGCAUGUAUAUUAAAAAAUGUUCACUGGAAGCCGCCGUUGGGUGUGUAACAGCUGAGGCGUGGACCACAACGCUAGUGUCCAUCUGA
rnacentral:rRNA from 1 species